rnacentral:rRNA from 1 species
UACGUAGGCAGCAAGCGUUGUUCGGAAUUACUGGGCGUAAAGCGAGUGUAGGCGGUUCGAUAAGUUUGGUGUGAAAUCUCCCGGCUCAACUGGGAGGGUGCGCCGAAGACUGUCGAGCUAGAAUGUGGGAGAGGUAGGCGGAAUUCCUGGUGUAGCGGUGAAAUGCGUAGAUAUCAGGAGGAACACCUGCGGUGUAGACGGCUUACUGGACCACGACUGACGCUGCAACUCGAAAGUGUGGGGAGCAAACAGG